rnacentral:rRNA from 1 species
GACGAACGCUGGCGGCGUGCUUAACACAUGCAAGUCGAGCGGUAAAGGCCCUUUCGGGGGGUACACGAGCGGCGAACGGGUGAGUAACACGUGGGUGACCUGCCCUCAGCUCUGGGAUAAGCCUGGGAAACCGGGUCUAAUACCGGAUAUGACUCCAUGACGCAUGUUGUGGGGUGGAAAGCCUUGUGCGGCUGAGGAUGGGGCCCGCGGCCUAUCAGCUUGUUGGUGGGGUGANGGCCUACCAAGGCGACGACGGGUAGCCGGCCUGAGAGGGCGACCGGCCACACUGGGACUGAGACACGGCCCAGACUCCUAC